AGUGAACGCUGGCGGCAUGCCUAACACAUGCAAGUCGAACGGCAGCACAGCAGUAGCAAUACUGUGGGUGGCGAGUGGCGGACGGGUGAGGAACACAUCGGAAUUUGCCCAGUCGUGGGGGAUAACGUAGGGAAACUUACGCUAAUACCGCAUACGACCUAACGGUGAAAGCGGGGGAUCGCAAGACCUCGCGCGGAUGGAUAAGGCGAUGUCGGAUUAGCUAGUUGGCGGGUAAAGGCCCACCAAGGCGACGAUCCGUAGCUGGUCUGAGAGGAUGAUCAGCCACACUGGGACUGAGACACGGCCCAGACUCCUACGGGAGGCAGCAGUGGGGAAUAUUGGACAAUGGGGGCAACCCUGAUCCAGCAAUGCCGCGUGUGUGAAGAAGGCCUUCGGGUUGUAAAGCACUUUUAUCGGGAACGAAACAUUGUCGGUGAAUAUCCGGCAAGACUGACGUACCCGAGGAAUAAGCACCGGCUAACUUCGUGCCAGCACG
rnacentral:rRNA from 1 species